rnacentral:rRNA from 1 species
GACGAACGCUGGCGGCGUGCCUAAUACAUGCAAGUCGAGCGAGUCUGCCUUGAAGAUCGGAGUGCUUGCACCCUGUGAAACAAGAUACAGGCUAGCGGCGGACGGGUGAGUAACACGUGGGUAACCUGCCCAAGAGAUCGGGAUAACACCUGGAAACAGAUGCUAAUACCGGAUAACAACAGAUGAUGCCUAUCAACUGUUUAAAAGAUGGUUCUGCUAUCACUCUUGGAUGGACCUGCGGUGCAUUAGCUAGUUGGUAGGGUAACGGCCUACCAAGGCGAUGAUGCAUAGCCGAGUUGAGAGACUGAUCGGCCACAUUGGGACUGAGACACGGCCCAAACUCCUACGGGAGGCAGCAGUAGGGAAUCUUCCACAAUGGACGCAAGUCUGAUGGAGCAACGCCGCGUGAGUGAAGAAGGGUUUCGGCUCGUAAAGCUCUGUUGUUGGUGAAGAAGGACAGGGGUAGUAACUGACCUUUGUUUGACGGUAAUCAAUUAGAAAGUCACGGCUAACUACGUG